rnacentral:rRNA from 1 species
GAUGAACGCUGGCGGCGUGCCUAAUACAUGCAAGUCGAGCGAACGGACGAGAAGCUUGCUUCUCUGAUGUUAGCGGCGGACGGGUGAGUAACACGUGGAUAACCUACCUAUAAGACUGGGAUAACUUCGGGAAACCGGAGCUAAUACCGGAUAAUAUUUUGAACCGCAUGGUUCAAAAGUGAAAGACGGUCUUGCUGUCACUUAUAGAUGGAUCCGCGCUGCAUUAGCUAGUUGGUAAGGUAACGGCUUACCAAGGCAACGAGGCAUAGCCGACCUGAGAGGGUGAUCGGCCACACGGGAACUGGGACACGGUCCCGAGUCCUACGGGAGGCAGCAGUAGGGAAUCUUCCGCAAUGGGCGAAAGCCUGACGGAGCAACGCCGCGUGAGUGAUGAAGGUCUUCGGAUAGUAAAACUCUGUUAUUAGGGAAGAACAUAUGUGUAAGUAACUGUGCACAUCUUGACGGUACCUAAUCAGAAAGCCACGGCUAACUACGUG